GGUUGCUGCUGGGAGCUGUUGCCUUGAGGUAACACCUUUCCAGUGGGUCUUGCCUGAGGAUCCAGCUCUGCCUAGCCAAUCCCAUGCUCUUUUGCUCUUGCUUUGUGCUGCAUCUUGGAUGCUUGUUCCUGCUCAGACAGCAAUGCAUUGCAAACAGGGUUGGAAUACAGAUCCCAUCAUGUGCACUCCCUGCUCAGUACGAGUGACCUGAAGCGUCAUGGGUUUCGAGCAGCUGCGUUUCGAACUGGCUGAAGUGUGCACUGUGAAUUUAAGUAUGGAAGUUCCAAAGUUACUCCAGCAGCACUGCUGUGAAUCAUCUCACCAGUCGGGUUUCUGAGCUGAGCACUCACAGCUGAAAGCAGACCUGCAUGAGAAGCCAGCUCCCAAAAGCUCACGUCAAGACUUAAUGGUCAGACCUAUGGAAGGACACUGGAAGAUCGAGCCGUUUAAUUUGGACUGGCACUGUAAAUGCAAUGUGAGCUCCUUGAGGAAACCUGUCUGCUCUGUCCCAGUUCCAUACAAAGCAGCACUUCACUAUUGGAAACACAGGUCACCAGAUCCUCGCCAGGAGGAAUUAGCAUAGCUCUCCAAAGGACAAUGGCGCUGUGCUGAUUUACGCCGGCUGAAAAGCUGUCCCUUUAUCCAUGGGAGCUAUAGCAGGAGCAAGUUUCAGUCGCAGCUUCGCAGCAGAGACUCUUGCGACCCAGGCUCAUAGAAACAAUGGACUGCAGAGGUGUUAGGACUGCUGUCUUCUGGUGGCAGAUCCGUCUUGAGGGUACGAUAUGGCCAUCUCUUUUGCAUCUGGUUAUUUUAGCUCCAAUUUGCAGCCCUAAAAUGGCAAUUACAGUGAUCUAUUGCUCAAGUCACCCGACAUGGAUUAGUAUCGGGAUCAGC